rfam:TPA: Bos taurus chromosome X, whole genome shotgun sequence.
UAGCUCAGUUGGUAAAGAAUCUGCCUGCAAUGCAGGAGACCCUGGUUCAAUUCCUGG